GAUGAACGCUGGCGGCGUGCCUAACACAUGCAAGUCGAACGGAGCUGCUUUGAUGAGAUCUUCGGAUGGAUUUAAAACAGCUUAGUGGCGGACGGGUGAGUAACGCGUGGGUAACCUGCCUCACACUGGGGGAUAACAGUUAGAAAUAGCUGCUAAUACCGCAUAAGCGCACGGUUCCGCAUGGAACAGUGUGAAAAACUCCGGUGGUGUGAGAUGGACCCGCGUCUGAUUAGCCAGUUGGCGGGGUAACGGCCCACCAAAGCGACGAUCAGUAGCCGGCCUGAGAGGGUGAACGGCCACAUUGGGACUGAGACACGGCCCAAACUCCUACGGGAGGCAGCAGUGGGGAAUAUUGCACAAUGGGGGAAACCCUGAUGCAGCGACGCCGCGUGAGUGAAGAAGUAUUUCGGUAUGUAAAGCUCUAUCAGCAGGGAAGAAAGUGACGGUACCUGAAUAAGAAGCCCCGGCUAACUACGUGCCAGCAGCCGCGGUAAUACGUAGGGGGCAAGCGUUAUCCGGAUUUACUGGGUGUAAAGGGAGCGUAGACGGCAAGGCAAGUCUGAAGUGAAAGCCCGGUGCUUAACGCCGGGACUGCUUUGGAAACUGUUUAGCUGGAGUGCCGGAGAGGUAAGCGGAAUUCCUAGUGUAGCGGUGAAAUGCGUAGAUAUUAGGAAGAACACCAGUGGCGAAG
rnacentral:rRNA from 1 species